AUUGAACGCUGGCGGCAUGCCUUACACAUGCAAGUCGAACGGCAGCGCGGGAGCAAUCCUGGUGGCGAGUGGCGAACGGGUGAGUAAUAUAUCGGAACGUGCCCAGUCGUGGGGAUAACGUAGCGAAAGCUACGCUAAUACCGCAUACGAUCUACGGAUGAAAGCGGGGGAUCGCAAGACCUCGCGCGAUUGGAGCGGCCGAUAUCAGAUUAGGUAGUUGGUGAGGUAAAGGCUCACCAAGCCGACGAUCUGUAGCUGGUCUGAGAGGACGACCAGCCACACUGGGACUGAGACACGGCCCAGACUCCUACGGGAGGCAGCAGUGGGGAAUUUUGGACAAUGGGCGCAAGCCUGAUCCAGCAAUGCCGCGUGCAGGAUGAAGGCU
rnacentral:rRNA from 1 species